rnacentral:rRNA from 1 species
UACGAAGGGUGCUAGCGUUGUUCGGAAUUACUGGGCGUAAAGCGCGCGUAGGCGGUCUAUCAAGUCAGAGGUGAAAGCCCUGGGCUCAACCCAGGAAUUGCCUUUGAAACUGUAAGACUUGAGGACGAGAGAGGUGAGUGGAAUUCCCAGUGUAGAGGUGAAAUUCGUAGAUAUUGGGAAGAACACCAGUGGCGAAGGCGGCUCACUGGCUCGUAUCUGACGCUCAGGCGCGACAGCGUGGGGAUCAAACAGG